GAUCUGGAUGUGUACGAUGCAGGGCCCUCCUGGGCAUGAACGCAUCGGAUGAGCCUGAGAUCGGGGCUACUGGAAGAAGUCACUACGCAACAGAUUCAGGAAUUGCAGGAAGUGUCAUGAACGUGAUAAUCCAUUAGGACAAAUGGAA